rnacentral:lncRNA from 1 species
GCAACAGCAUGCAGUCUACUUUUGUACUAUCCCAUGGAAAUGCUGCCUGUCUGGAACGUGACAUUCAACAGUAUGGCUCUAUUAAAGACAAUCUUUGAAGAGUAUUUCCCAUUUCCACCACAUGAGUGGCAGAACAAGCUCCAGGUAGAGGUUGUUCUGUCACAGUGUCCUGAAAUGACCCAGAUAUACAAAACAGGCAGGGAAGAAAGGUUUGAUGGAAGUCACUCUUGUGUAUAAACAACUGAAACAAUGUAACAAAAUAUGAUGGAGAUGACAGAGAUGAAAGAUAUUGCAAGAGUUACACAAAUGCCUGAAAGCAUAUUAAUCACAAAUUAAUCUGAAAAACAUUAAAACUAAUCUCAACAUCUAAUGAAGCACUCAUGUCUUCAGAAAGUAACACUGUAGGUAAGUUUAUUUUUUAACAUUAAAAAAUAACCCCUCCAAAAGAUAACUUCUGCUGGAAAAAAGAGGCAUAUUUGUGAGUUUCACUCCAUUUUUUAAAAAUGGGAGCUAAUGGGAAAAGUACACAAAGGAAUUUGGUCAUGAGAUGGGAGGUGCAGAAGAAAUAAAAUUCCAAAUGUUCAAAUAGAUGGAAGGCUG